rnacentral:rRNA from 1 species
CCUACGGGAGGCAGCAGUGAGGAAUAUUGGUCAAUGGGCGCGAGCCUGAACCAGCCAAGUCGCGUGAGGGAAGACGGCCCUACGGGUUGUAAACCUCUUUUGCCGGGGAGCAACGAGCGCCACGUGUGGCGCCACUGGGAGUACCCGGCGAAAAAGCAUCGGCAAACUCCGUGCCAGCAGCCCCGGUACUACGAAGGAUGCAAGCGUUAUCCGGAUUUAUGGGGUUUAAGGGGUGCUGAGGCGGAGCGUUCAGUCAGUGGUCAAAUCGAGGGGCUCAACCCCUUCCCGCCAUUGAAACUGGCGCUCUUGAGUGGAAGAGAAGUAUGCGGAAUGCGUGGUGUAGCGGUGAAAUGCAUAGAUAUCACGCAGAACCCCGAUUGCGAAGGCAGCAUGCCGGCUUCCGACUGACGCUGAAGCACGAAAGCGUGGGGAUCGAACAGGAUUAGAUACCCUUGUAGUC